AGCCACAUCACGUUUAAACCCCGGUUUCCGUAAGAUCACCGAAGUUAAGCAACGUCGAGCCUGGUCACUACCUAGAUGGAUGACCGCUUUGGAGUACCAGGUGCUGUAAG